rnacentral:rRNA from 1 species
AUUGAACGCUAGCGGGAUGCUUUACACAUGCAAGUCGAACGGAGUGGCGAACGGGUGAGUAAUGUAUCGGAACGUGCCCAGUAGCGGGGGAUAACUACGCGAAAGCGUAGCUAAUCCCGCAUACUAUUGGAGCGGCCGAUAUCGGAUUAGCUAGUUGGUGGGUUAACGGCUCACCAAGGCGACGAUCCGUAGCUGGUUGGAGAGGACGACCAGCCACACUGGAACUGAGGAACGGCCCAGACUCCAACGGGAGGCAGCAGUGGGGAAUUUUGGACAAUGGGGGAAACCCGGAUCCGGCCAUCCCGCGUGUGCGAUGAAGGCCUUCGGGUUGUAAAGCACUUUUAGCAGGAAAGCGUUACCUGGAGAAUAAGCACCGGCUAACUACGUGCCAGCAGUCGCGGUAAUUC